AAAUAGGCCUUUCACAAGGCCACUCAUGUUGACAUACAGUAGACGU
rfam:Orchesella cincta Ocin01_Sc0180, whole genome shotgun sequence.